GACGAACGCUGGCGGCGUGCUUAACACAUGCAAGUCGAACGGAAAGGCCCUGCUUUUGUGGGGUGCUCGAGUGGCGAACGGGUGAGUAACACGUGAGUAACCUGCCCUUGACUUUGGGAUAACUUCAGGAAACUGGGGCUAAUACCGGAUAGGAGCUCCUGCUGCAUGGUGGGGGUUGGAAAGUUUCGGCGGUUGGGGAUGGACUCGCGGCUUAUCAGCUUGUUGGUGGGGUAGUGGCUUACCAAGGCUUUGACGGGUAGCCGGCCUGAGAGGGUGACCGGCCACAUUGGGACUGAGAUACGGCCCCGACUCCUACGGGAGGCAGCCGUGGGGAAUAUUGCACAAUGGGCGGAAGCCUGAUGCAGCAACGCCGCGUGCGGGAUGACGGCCUUCGGGUUGUAAACCGCUUUCGCCUGUGACGAAGCGUGAGUGACGGUAAUGGGUAAAGAAGCACCGGCUAACUACGUG
rnacentral:rRNA from 1 species